rnacentral:rRNA from 1 species
CGGGUGGUAAUGCCGGAUGUUCCAGUUGAUCGCAUGGUCUUCUGGGAAAGCUUUCGCGGUAUGGGAUGGGGUCGCGUCCUAUCAGCUUGACGGCGGGGUAACGGCCCACCGUGGCUUCGACGGGUAGCCGGCCUGAGAGGGCGACCGGCCACAUUGGGACUGAGAUACGGCCCAGACUCCUACGGGAGGCAGCAGUGGGGAAUAUUGCACAAUGGGCGCAAGCCUGAUGCAGCGACGCCGCGUGAGGGAUGGAGGCCUUCGGGUUGUAAACCUCUUUUAUCGGGGAGCAAGCGUGAGUGAGUUUACCCGUUGAAUAAGCACCGGCUAACUACGUGCCAGCAGCCGCGGUAAUACGUAGGGUGCAAGCGUUAUCCGGAAUUAUUGGGCGUAAAGGGCUCGUAGGCGGUUCGUCGCGUCCGGUGUGAAAGUCCAUCGCUUAACGGUGGAUCCGCGCCGGGUACGGGCGGGCUUGAGUGCGGUAGGGGAGACUGGAAUUCCCGGUGUAACGGUGGAAUGUGUAGAUAUCGGAA